GUACUCGCUUCAGCAGCACAUAUACUAAAAUUGGAACGAUACAGAGAAGAUUAGCAUGGCCCCUGCGCAAAGAUUAGUAUCUUUUGACUGUCUUAUCCCAGUUAC